AUAUAAAUAAAAAAUAUACAUACAUCUAUAUAUAUAAAUCAAAAAAUAUUGAUAUGGAGGUCAGUUCGGAGGCUGAGUGCUGCGACCUACUUUUGUGAUUUGGUGUCAAGCAGACGGGUAAAUCUUUUAUGCCAGUUUCUGGGGAAAUUUAUAUAUUUAGGAAGUGACAUUUUGGCCCCUACGGUCAGGUAAAGUUUAAGAAAAAAAUAAAUCUGCUACCCUUUAAAAUGCGGGAGCUGUGAGCUUGCCAGUCAGUCGACAGUCGGGAACAGAGCGAGUUGGUAACAGGUAGUUCUGCUGGAGACAGUGAAUGUGAAAGACAUACACAGAGGAUUGAGAGCGAAAGAGAGGUUACGGCGUGGAAGGCAUUGGCUAUUGUCGCAGAGUUGCAGACGCGAAAACGUUCGGUAAUGUUUAUGUUUGUUUUUUGUUGUUGACUUUUGAUGUGAAAAGAAAAGAAUUGAAUUGUUGAAAAGAAAAGAAAAGAAUUGUUGAACUAAACAGAAAUGAGAUUGUGAAAAGAACUGUGUUGCUGAGUUGUGUUAAAGAAAAAAAGAAAGAACUGUGAAUUAAGGAAAAGAGUUGUUAAAAAAAGAGAAAGAAAGAAAGAAAGAGAAAGACUUUAAUGUGAUUUGAACAUUGAACUGUAUCGUGAAUUGAACUGAUUUGUCUCUGAACUGUAUCGUGAACAUUAUUUGAUUUGAACUGUUGUCUCCGGACUGUGUAUUGUAUCUGCAUGUUUUGAUCUUGUUAAUUUUGUUGCAUGUUAUUUUCUUUGAUGUACCUGAUGUAUUUUACAUUGUAUUUGAUGUUGUAAUGAUUGUCAUAAACUGUUGUUAAAUGUAA